AGAUUGAACGCUGGCGGCAUGCCUUACACAUGCAAGUCGAGCGGCAGCGCGGGGGCAACCCUGGCGGCGAGCGGCGAACGGGUGAGUAAUGCAUCGGAACGUGUCCUCUUGUGGGGGAUAACCAGUCGAAAGACUGGCUAAUACCGCAUGAGAUCGAGAGAUGAAAGCGAGGGGACCGCAAGGCCCUUGCGCGAGAGGGAGCGGCCGAUCGCCCGAUUAGCUAGUUGGGUGGGUAAAAGCCUACCAAGGUCCGACGAGUCGGUAGCGUGGUCGUGAGAGGGACGACCAGCCACACUGGACUGAGACACGGCCCAGACCUCCUACGGGAGGC
rnacentral:rRNA from 1 species